rnacentral:lncRNA from 1 species
GUUUGCUUUCACUAAACGGCUCACUUCCUGUGUUAUCUGCUCACAAUACGCGUCCGCCACCCUGGCAUCAAGUUUCAAGACUAGUUGAAGCGACCGUAAAAGAUCAUCCGCUAAAUUCUCUUUGUAAGGAAGAAGCCGUUGACAGAUUCUUAAAAGUCCAAAAACCGCUUUUUCAACAAGCGCACACGGCAUGGCAGUCGUCUGGACGAUACCGGCUAUGUGUUCGUAAACACCCUGCCACAGAAUUACAAUCCUGUCCCUAUUGUUUAAUGUGAUUGCGAUUAAUAACUCUAAGCAGAAAACCGCGGUAUCUUCGUCUUCGGGAGAGCUAUUACCCUUGGGAGGCCGCCCGGCUGCCCAAAUGAGAGCCCGGGCAAGGUGUAACAACGAAUCAGAUUGAAGAAACUUGCUCUCGGUGAAAAUACUAUCAAUGUGGCAUUUUUGAAUGGUUUGAAGAGUACGCUGAUGUGCAGCAAGUUGUUGUUCGGUUGGUUGGAGUCUUGGUUCCUCUGUGUCAAGAGAUAAGAGUUGGCUGAACCGGCCCAUUAACCCGGAUGACCUCCGUGGGGUACUGACAGCUGGCAUGUGAGCAUUGGAUAAAGAAUUUGUUAAUGGCUUCCCGUGUCCCGGUUCAGAUGAGAGUUCUGAAUCAUCAGCUGCAUCACUAGCAACUCGAGCGGGAAGAAGACCGAGCUUGUGCAGCUUCAAGAUGCAAUCCAGAAUGUUCCUCCAACCCGCCCGAAUAAAAUCACCCAGCAAUUGUCGGGCCGGACAUCACAGCAAACAUAUCACGGUCAAGGUGACUUUUCGAAUCUGA